AGCCUCCCGCUUGCAAAUAGUGCUUGGAAUGGCUGCUUAAUUAGCUUUGAAUGGCUUUUCCUUCCAGCUCAAACAAUCUGUCACUACCAUGUGGUAUAAAGGAGCCAUGCAUAAAAAAGUAAAAACACACACAAACCCUGAAGAAAAAAAAAAGAAGAAGAAAAAGGAAAGAAAGAAAGAAAAAAAAGGAAGAAAAUCAAAACCCAAACUCCACGGUGUUCCUACUCCUGCGCACGUCUGAAAUAGGUCCUGUCUAUGCGGACUGUGUACAGAAAAGCGCCGCAGCUCUGUCUCUGGUCUCCGCGUCUCCUGCCAGGGCAGUGAUGCUCCCAAGGACCCCACUAGUCAGCGUGAGCUAGUGCAAGGCAGACUUCACAUUGAGUUCUCCUGUGAACCCAGGCGCCAGCACCCGGCCUGCCACACGGAUGAUGAGCGUGAUGGAUGCGGUUUUGCCGAGCGCCGCCCCCACGGCAGAGCCGAACUGCUUGCAGCAGCGCUCCCCACUGUGUGGAAGGACAGCCCUUGAGCGUUUAAUAGGUACAAAGCGGCCAUGGUUACCCAGUACGUCCUCACUUCACUCCCAAGGCCUGGCUGACGGCCCGUCUUAUAGAGUAGAAGAGGGGCUGAUACACAAACAAAGCUUAGUAAUAGGCCGCGAGCUAGGCAGAGAGAAUUGGAAUCCAGGACAGCCAGAUCCACGGCCAAACUCCUUUGUUUGUGCAAGCCGAAUCUAUAUGAGCAUUUACUGAAAGACAUUCAUUCACUCAUUCACUCAUUCAUUCAUUCUAACCCUCUCUGAAGGUAUGGUUGAGGAGCCUCUGGCUCCCAGUUCACCGUAUCACCUCGGCUUUUUUUUUUCCUUCUUCUUCCUUCUUCUGUAACCAGAACCCAGAGCCUGAAAGGGAAGCAGGGCCCUUGGUAACUUGGUUCAGGUCCCUUAAGCUCAAAACUCACUACUGCUCAGAACCCCACCCCCAUGCCACCUCACAAAUUUUGUAAGAAAUGGAAAUGAGCUUAUUUUAUGCUAGAGAAAGAUGCACACAACACACUGUCCGAAGCGCUUGACAAUUAUUUUAAAGAAGGAGGGGACUGAAGAAAAAGACUUCAAACAGCUCUGUCUCCAGUUCUAAUUGGAAGCGUUUCAACUGUUUAUGUUACAAGAAGUGUCAGGGUCAUUUGCUACCGGAGAGCUGACUUUUCAUUGGCUGCUUAAUUGAGUACCUCGGAGUCCACCCCACGUGGGAGAGGAAUUCCUGGCACAUUAAAAAAAAAAAAAAAGUCACGCGGUGAGCUGGAAAGUCCGGGAUGGAUCUGCAUCAGCGGAAGGCCCCCAGCUCCUCAUUUGGGAUGUAAGAUGACUGUGGGAACUUGAGGU